rnacentral:piRNA from 1 species
UGGACUGACUCCUGUCUGGUUCUGUGUGAA